UACGUAGGGGGCAAGCGUUGUCCGGAUUUAUUGGGCGUAAAGAGCGUGUAGGCGGCUGGGUAGGUCCGUUGUGAAAACUCGAGGCUCAACCUCGAGACGCCGAUGGAAACCCUCCAGCUAGAGUCCGGAAGAGGAGAGUGGAAUUCCUGGUGUAGCGGUGAAAUGCGCAGAUAUCAGGAGGAACACCGGUGGCGAAGGCGGUUCUCUGGGCAUUACCUGACGCUGAGGAGCGAAAGCAUGGGGAGCGAACAGG
rnacentral:rRNA from 1 species